CUCUUGCUGCUUUCUCCCAGAUGUCCCCAAGCGCAUAAUGGAAGCAGGUCAAAUAAAAAAGAGAGGAGCUCCUUUUACACCAUGGGGCUGAAUUUGAUUCGCUUCAGCUGGACACUCGUCUCUGAUGGGGGAUCGUGUAGACCCUGGCUGUUAUCAGCUCGGUGCGUUCAUAUGGAAAAAGUGGAAAUCUCGUCCUGUCCCGGGAACAUUCGCAUUUUGCACCGCCUAACUGGUCAUCUACACAUGGGAAGUGUCUAUCCCUCCGUGUGAGCCCGAGAGGGGGACGAAGAAGAGGAGAAGCCAGAUAAAGUUGUUCGCGGUCAUUGUGGAGCUUCCAUGGAUUUGGCGUAUAAUGUUAUGAAAAACACACAAAAUGUAAUUAAAUAAAUAAAGGCAUAUUUUUCAACUUA